AGUGAACGCUGGCGGUAGGCCUAACACAUGCAAGUCGAACGGCAGCACAGUAAGAGCUCGCUCUUACGGGUGGCGAGUGGCGGACGGGUGAGGAAUACAUCGGAAUCUACUUUUUCUUGGGUGAUAACGUAGGGAAACUUACGCUAAUACCGCAUACGACCUACGGGUGAAAUCAGGGGAUCUUCGGACCUUGCGCGACUGAAUGAGCCGAUGUCGGAUUAGCUAGUUGGCGUGGUAAAGGCCCACCAAGGCGACGAUCCGUAGCUGGUCUGAGAGGAUGAUCGGCCACACUGGAACUGAGACACGGUCCAGACUCCUACGGGAGGCAGCAGUGGGGAAUAUUGGGCAAUGGGCGCAAGCCUGAUCGAGCCAUGCCGCGUGAGUGAAGAAGGCCUUCGGGUUGUAAAGCCCUUUUGUUGGGAAAGAAAAGCAGCGGGUUAAAACCCCGCUGUUCUGACGGUACCCAAAGAAUAAGCACCGGCUAACUUCGUG
rnacentral:rRNA from 1 species